ensembl:lncRNA
UUUUGUUUUUUUUUGUGAAUGUUGGACAGUGUUUAGCUAGUUUGAACACUGAACAUGCAUAGUAAAAUAGUAUGGUUCUGAGUAAUUAGAUGGUGCAUUCCCAGAAAAACCAUCAGACUUCUCUUUAUCUUAUGUUGCAUAGUCAUCUUCAUGUAGCACACAUUUUGAAGAAAACUGAAGUGUGAAGCUUUUGUUCUUAGUCUCUAAACACUUAUUUUUCUCCAAACAAUAUGGUGCAACAAUGUACAGAGAGUUCAAAGAUCAAUUAUAUUCACAUAGGCAUGUGAAAUCUCGUUCCAAUCAGCAUUAGUCGAUGAGCUUCAGGUCUUUUCAGAUCUCUUGCUUUGUGGCUAGAAUACAGUCUAUAACUGAUGUUGCUCCUGGUAGAAGGCCUUGUCAAUUCUUCCUGCCUGAGGUUUCUUCCCAGGGCAUAGAAAGCCUGUGGUAAUGUAUUUGACACAGUGCUGGAGGGUAAAUUAUACUUAUUUUGAAAAGUUAUGUUAAAAAUAGAUGGCAGGUGAUUGCUUUCCUGGGACAGCCAAUGCUUUGUGCAGGGAGCUUCCUUUAACCUGUAGCCGUUCUCUUUUGGAAUAAAGUCUGUGAGGACCUUGAAGACAUUUCCUGGGUCACCACUGACACUCAAUCUUUCAUCAGCAGUGACCGCUCUGGUGGCAUCUGGCAUUAUGGCUUUGGUGACAACUUCUGCUGGAUGGAAAUCUGUUGGCUCCACUCUUUUAAAAAGACUCUUCCUCAGGUUUCUGGACUCUUUGACAGGUGGCAACACACGAAAGCUUCUGAUGCUAAGAGCAACUGUAUUUUCCUUCAGGAUUUGACACGGUUCUGUAUGGUAAUAGCAGACUGAUGGUGAUUUUUGUGUACACUGUUCAUCUCCAGACAGCAAUUUGUUCAUUAAUGGUUCUGACAUAUUUUGCAGAGAUAAACUGAGAGAGUAAAGUUCAUCUGAAGAGGAAUUGUCAGUUUCUUCUGCAAGAUCUAGAAUGGUUGGAUCAGUCUUUCUGAAACUUUUCAAAGCAUUUCCAGCAGAGCAGUAGAUUGGCAAAUCAGAAAGAUUAAGGUCUGCACAGAGGAGACAGUGAGAGUCUAUGAAGUCUUGCUUGAUUUUUUUCCCCUUCCUUGGAGGUUGAAGAAAUACCCCAAAAGAAGGAAAUCUCCCCCAACCUUCAACCUGUUAAAAAAUGCAGUCUGUGAGUUUCUUACUUUGAAAU